rnacentral:rRNA from 1 species
AUUGAACGCUGGCGGCAGGCCUAACACAUGCAAGUCGCGCGAGCGGCGGACGGGUGAAUAAUGUAUGGGGACUGCCCGAUAGAGGUGGAUAAAUACUGGAAACGGUAGCUAAUACAGCAUCCACUCGGAGAUCCCAUGUGGUCUUAGCUAGUAGGUAAGGUAAUGGCUCACCUAGGCGACGAUCCCGAGCUUGGCUGAGAGGAUGAUCAGCCACACUGGGACUGAGACACGGCCCAGACUCCUACGGAGGCAGCAGUGGGGAAUAUUGCACGAUGGGCGCAAGCCUGAUGCAGCCAUGCCGCGUGUAUGAAGAAGGCCCUAGGGUUGUAAAGUACUUUCAGUCGGGAGGCGUUACCGACAGAAGAAGCACCGGCUAACUACGUGCCAGCAGCCGCGGUAAUAC